rnacentral:rRNA from 1 species
GAGUUUGAUCCUGGCUCAGGACGAACGCUGGCGGCGUGCGUAAUACAUGCAAGUCGAGCGGACCUUCGGGUCAGCGGCGGACGGGUGAGGAACACGUGAGUGAUCGGGCUGUGAGUGGGGGAUAUCGGGCCGAAAGGCGCGGCAAUCCCGCAUACGUUCCGGGGAACCGGAAGAAAGCUUGGCAACAGGCGCUCACAGGGGAGCUCGCGGCCCAUUAGCUAGUUGGGGGGGUAAGGGCCUCCCAAGGCGACGAUGGGUAGCCGGCCUGAGAGGGUGAACGGCCACACUGGGACUGAGACACGGCCCAGACUCCUACGGGAGGCAGCAGUAGGGAAUCUUCCACAAUGGGCGCAAGCCUGAUGGAGCAACGCCGCGUGAGUGAAGACGGCCUUCGGGUUGUAAAGCUCUGUCUGUCGGGACGAAGACCGGCCCGGAAGGGCCGGGGAGCCGGUACCGACGGAGGAAGCCCCUGCAAACUACGUGCCAGCAGCCGCGGUAAUAC